GUACGGAGGGUCCAAGCGUUAUCCGGAUUCAUUGGGUUUAAAGGGUCCGCAGGCGGGAGAAUAAGUCAGUGGUGAAAGCCUACAGCUCAACUGUAGAACUGCCAUUGAUACUGUUUUUCUUGAGUAUAGAUGAAGUGGGCGGAAUAUAUCAUGUAGCGGUGAAAUGCAUAGAUAUGAUAUAGAACACCGAUUGCGAAGGCAGCUCACUAAACUAUUACUGACGCUCAGGGACGAAAGCGUGGGGAGCGAACAGGAUUAGAAACCCUAGUAGUCC
rnacentral:rRNA from 1 species